rnacentral:rRNA from 1 species
GCAUAUCAAAGCGAGAAAGAACACAGGAUUGCCUUAGUAACGGCGAGUGAAGCGGCAAUAGCUCAAAUUUGAAAUCUGGCACCUUUGGGUGUCCGAGUUGUAAUUUGUAGAGGAUGUUUCGGUAUUGGCUCUAAUCUAAGUCCCUUGGAACAGGGUGUCAUAGAGGGUGAGAGUCCCGUAUGUGAUUAGUUGUCUUUGCCAUGUGAAGCUCCUUCGACGAGUCGAGUUGUUUGGGAAUGCAGCUCUAAUUGGGAGGUAAAUUUCUUCUAAAGCUAAAUACUGGCCAGAGACCGAUAGCGCACAAGUAGAGUGAUCGAAAGAUGAAAAGCACUUUGGAAAGAGAGUUAAACAGUACGUGAAAUUGUUGAAAGGGAAGCGCUUGCAAAUCAGACCUGCUUGCAGUUGUUCAUCUAAGCUUUUGGGUUUAGUGCAUUCUUCUGUAAGUCAGGCCAGUAUCAGUUCAGGCGGUUGGAUAAAGAAUUCAGGAAUGUAGCUCUUUUCGGGGAGUGUUAUAGCCUGUUUUGUAAUGCAGUCAGCCUGGAUUGAGGACCGCGCUUCGGCUAGGAUACUGGCGUAAUGGUUGUAAGCGGCCCGUCUUGAAACACGGACCAAGGAGUCUAACAUCUGUGCGAGUGUUCGGGUGUUAAACCCGUGCGCGUAAUGAAAGUGAACGGAGGCGGGAACCUUUUAGGUGCACCGUCGACCGAUCCUGAUGUCUUCGGAUGGAUUUGAGUAAGAGCAUAGCUGUUGGGACCCGAAAGAUGGUGAACUAUGCUUGAAUAGGGUGAAGCCAGAGGAAACUCUGGUGGAGGCUCGCAGCGGUUCUGACGUGCAAAUCGAUCGUCAAAUUUGGGCAUAGGGGCGAAAGAC